GGAUGCAAUCAUACCAGCACUAAAGCACCGGAUCCCAUCAGAACUCCGAAGCUAAGCGUGCUUGGGCGAGAGCAGUACUAGGAUGGGUGACCUCCUGGGAAGUCCUCGUGUUGCAUUCC
rnacentral:rRNA from 1 species